UACAGAGGGUGCGAGCGUUGCUCGGAAUCACUGGGCGUAAAGCGCACGUAGGCGGCUUUCUAAGUCAGGGGUGAAAUCCUGGAGCUCAACUCCAGAACUGCCUUUGAUACUGGAGAGCUUGAGUCCGGGAGAGGUGAGUGGAACUCCGAGUGUAGAGGUGAAAUUCGUAGAUAUUCGGAAGAACACCAGUGGCGAAGGCGGCUCACUGGCCCGGUACUGACGCUGAGGUGCGAAAGCGUGGGGAGCAAACAGG
rnacentral:rRNA from 1 species